ACCGCGAGUACUGGUCCGGCUGGACCUUUCCUUCUGGGGAACCUCAUGGCCUUCACUGGCUGUGGGGGGAACCAGGACUUUUACUGUGAAAAAAUUAGAGUGUUCAAAGCAGGCCUUUGCUCGAAUACAUUAGCAUGGAAUAAUAGAAUAGGACGUGCGGUUCUAUUUUGUUGGUUUCUAGGACCGCCGUAAUGAUUAAUAGGGAUAGUCGGGGGCGUCAGUAUUCAGCUGUCAGAGGUGAAAUUCUUGGAUUUGCUGAAGACUAACUACUGCGAAAGCAUUCGCCAAGGAUGUUUUCAUUAAUCAGGGAACGAAAGUUAGGGGAUCGAAGACGAUCAGAUACCGUCGUAGUCUUAACCAUAAACUAUGCCGACUAGGGAUCGGACGGGAUUCUAUGAUGACCCGUUCGGCACCUUACGAGAAAUCAAAGUUUUUGGGUUCUGGGGGGAGUAUGGUCGCAAGGCUGAAACUUAAAGAAAUUGACG
rnacentral:rRNA from 1 species